CUCGGCCCUGGGUGACAGCAGCCGCGCACAUUCUGCCCUGCGGGCACUGUGGGCUCUGCACCGCAUGAUCCACCCUGCUGUUGGAGAGCAGUGGAGGGUCAAGAUUCCCAUCCUGCUCUCGACUAUUGAAGCUUCAGGAAAUCCUGAGACCUCCCAGGACAAUGUGUGGUGGGAGCACCUGCUGCUGAAGUUCCUGAACAUGACACUGAAGAGCAUUGCUGACGAUGCCUGGAGCAGUCAGCUGAGCCUGGAGCUGCAGCACCAGACAGCCAGUUAUGCCUGCUCCUC